GUACUUUCUUGGGUAGCUAUGUGGCUUAGUAGCCAGAGAAUCAGGUCUGGAGAUGGGAGGUUGUGGGUUGAAAUCUGGCCUGAGACACUUCCUAGCUGUGUGACCCUGAGCAAGUCACUUAACCCCUAUUAUUACAUAGCUCUUACCACUCUUCUGCCUUGGAACUAAUCCUUAGUGUAACUUCUAAAACAGAAUUCUGUUGGGGGAGUUUUAAUCCACUUUCUAUACAGGUGAGAGAUGACCUAAAAGACAUUUUUAUGAAUCUGGAUAAGAAAAGGCAACAGACUGGAUAGGUUAGAAACAAUACAAGAGGCGACUCAGUAACCAUUGAAUAUUAAAAGAAUACGUUUCAUGUUUGGGUGGCUCCUCUAAGGAGGAUUUGUGGGAAAAUACAAAUAUGCACUAAAUGAGAAGGAAGCCAUGCUACACACUCUGCACGGGUAGAUUCAAACCCACUUCAACAAAAUCAUGAAUCCUUCAAUUACUAGAGUAAAACAUGACCUCAUUCCUGGUCACGGACAUGAAAUCAAGUAGCCUACUCCCAUUGAUGACCUCGCAAGGGGCAGUGGUGAAAGACCAGCUUGGACCUGAUGUAUUUCUGUUGAGUAACAUGGUAAAUGGUACCAUAUUUGUGCAGGUUGUCCAAUCUCUUCAGGCAUUUCUGGCUGCCAGCUUCAAGAGAAAAGAUGACAGAUGUGUACCUCAGUUCAGGUUCCUGAAGAAAAAGACUCUGGGAAGAAGCCAAGCUGGCGGCUUCCAUCAUGUCCUUUCGCCAGCCUUUAGGAAACUUCAAAAUCUAAGGCUCUUCCAUUGUUGAUUGAGCUUCCAAUGGUAGAGCUCCCUCCAUCUGUACUAUCUGGCGUAUAUUCUCAUAUAUAUAGCUUCCUCUGACUUGUUUGGCUAUAGAUUUGGAUAAAUGGGGCUCUUUGCUAUUUCCUUUGUGUACUCAUGGUGGGGCUGGCAUUUGGUAGGAAGGCAGUUAAGGGUUCUGUUUCCCCAGUUAUCAAAACAGUGGCCAGAAGCCAUAUUGAACUUGAAAACCUCGUCCCCUAGAUUAACGAUGAUCAAAGAAGAGGUAGAUCCAAUUCUAUGUUUCCAAUUAAAGCCUCCCUUGGAGAAGAGUUAGGUAGAAGGGUCUAGAGAUUUCCCUUCUGCUUCCCUUCGAGCCACACAGUGACAUUCUCUUGCCAAAUGUCCAGGACAGCCCUAAAU
rnacentral:lncRNA from 1 species